ACAAAAAAUCAUCACAGCACCAAGGUCUUCCUGACAUCGAGGAGAACUCCAACCACAGAUGAGGAAUCUGAUCUGUGAAGAGCUGCACUGAAUCCCCUGCUGCUAUUUCCCUGCUCCCCUGAUUACUUCUUACAGACUAGACUCCAAUCGGCUGAUAGCAUUGAGACCUGUGGUGCCUUGACCCUGCAGGGAGGCAUGGAGGACUGCCACAAGCAUCUGCCACAGGGCUGCAGGAAACACCAACUCUACCAUCGGUGCCAGGUGAUCCAGAGCAGACUGGGAGGCGUUGAACCUGACUCUCGGCUGCCUGAUCAGGUGAGGUAUGGUGGCCUGUGAGGGAAACUUCUCAGGUGAUUAAGCAUGACUCAUCCAGAUGCACAGGCAUCUGUUCUCACCUUGCAACGGACUUCCAUUUUGCAUGACAUGGAAAG